GAUGCAUGCUGUGAUGAGAAAUGCCGAAGCACACAUUAGAAGCAAUGAUGGUUAUCAGCCUAGCAGAGGCUGAUGGGCUUCCUCGGAUCUCGCCAUGGAACCAAUGGAAUGCCAGAAAAUGAUUGGCUGGGGAGCUCUUCCACGUUGUCAGGAGCAUUGGAAAAAGGCUGCAAGAGAAUGAUGAGAAAAAACCUGGAGAAUGGCAAAUGCUUCACUGAAGCAAUCUGUUAAGUGCCUCCUUGCAGAGUGGGACGCCUGGCCUGAGAUCAGAGGAGAAGGAAGAGGGCUGGGAGGGGGCAAACUAAGGAAAUAGAAGCCAAGGUGAGCAGGACAGAAAGCAAAGAUUUACAGCAUGUAUCGUAACCACACUAAUAUCUGGGGCUUCUCCUGAAUUUAAUCCAACUUCCAUGAUACUGAAAAUUUAUUAUUUCCCUUAUGUAUUUGUGGAAAACAGACAGAAAAUGAGUAAGAAAAAUGGAAAGAGA
rnacentral:lncRNA from 1 species